rnacentral:tRNA from 1 species
AGAAGCGUGCCCGAAUCACAAGGGCUAUUUUGAUAAAAUAGACACAGAGACUAGAAUCUCUCGCUUCUUUACUACCUA